rnacentral:rRNA from 1 species
UACGGAGGGUGCAAGCGUUAUCCGGAUUCACUGGGUUUAAAGGGUGCGUAGGCGGAUAGGUAAGUCCGAGGUGAAAUCCUGCAGCUUAACUGCAGAACUGCCGUGGAUACUCUCUAUCUUGAAUAUCGUGGAGGUUAGCGGAAUAUGUCAUGUAGCGGUGAAAUGCUUAGAUAUGACAUAGAACACCCAUUGCGAAGGCAGCUAACUACGCGAUCAUUGACGCUGAUGCACGAAAGCGUGGGGAUCAAACAGG